rnacentral:rRNA from 1 species
GAUUAACGCUGGCGGCGUGCAUAACACAUGCAAGUCGAACGAUGAAACUCAUUAGAUUUCUUCGGAAUGAAAAUGAAUGGAUUAGUGGCGAACGGGUGAGUAACGCGUGAGUAACCUGCCUUACACAAGGGGAUAGCCUCUGGAAACGGAGAAUAAUACCCUAUGAAACCGGACAAUCGCAUGAUAAUCUGGUCAAAAUGUUUAGUGGUGUAAGAUGGACUUGCGUCUGAUUAGCUAGUUGGUGAGAUAAAAGCUCACCAAGGCAACGAUCAGUAGCCGGCUUGAGAGAGUGUACGGCCACAUUGGGACUGAGACACGGCCCAGACUCCUACGGGAGGCAGCAGUGGGGAAUUUUGCACAAUGGGGGAAACCCUGAUGCAGCGACGCCGCGUGAUUUAGAAGGCCUUCGGGUUGUAAAAAUCUUUUGUAUAGGAAGAAAAUGACAGUACUAUACGAAUAAGGUCCGGCUAAUUACGUG